rnacentral:snoRNA from 1 species
AGGCCUGGAGUGAUGAAAAACAUUCCAAUCACCAUCUUUCAAAUGAUUAAGAAACAUGAUUGUAGCAAUAAUCUAUCCCCUGACCAGACCU